rnacentral:lncRNA from 10 species
UAGAAGUAUUUAAAGAAUGGCACAGGAGAGCUGGGAAAGAGGAUCACAAUUAAUUAUGAGAAGUCAGAAGGCUCCAUAGAAAACGAGAGUUGAAAUGUGUUCCACCAGGAGAGUGAUGCUAUGGAAGUCAAAGACAAACAAUUUCAAGGAGGAAGAAGUGGUCAAAAAAUAUUAAAUAAGUAUUGUGAAUGUAUUCAUAUAAAUGUGAUUUUUUU